UCGGCUCUUUCCCUUGGCCUCCUCCCACGUACGCCAUCGACACGCCCCACAGCACUGCCGCGCUCAUCAUCACGCAGCACGGCAAUCCUACUGCAGGCGCGCGCCUCAUUAAAGCCCCUCCCCUCCUCCCUCGUUCUCUCGUCGCCCACAUCUGCUUUGCGCACUCGUGCAAUAUAUACACACACAUAUAUAUAUAUAUAUGUAUUUACGUAUUGAAAGAGAGAGAGGAAGAGGAAGGACAGAAAGGUAAGAGGGAGAAGGCGGGACGGUAUUUCGCUGCCUCACUCACGGACGUGCUGCUCCACCGUCUGUCUCUCUGUCUGUGCGCGUGGGCGUGUGCGUGUGCAUCUCGGGCGGGCACACACUCAAACGCGCGUGCGCAUUCAUUUACGCACGCAAAGCCUUGACUGAACUCACCUCUCCUGCUCGCUGUCUGCCUGCCUGUCCCUCUCUCCUUCUCCCUGUAAUACACACCACUGCCCGCUUGUGCACAGCCCAUAUUUCGUUGUGUCGUGGUUUGCCAUUUCGACUGUGCGCUGCCAACUGUCUUGCUGUUGCUGUUACGGUUGCUGUUUCUUCUGCCUAUCGAUCGCCAUCCCUCUCUCUGUGUCUGCGCGCACGCGCGCGCGCCUAUGCGUGCCUUUUUUUUCCCGGAGCACCACUCUGGCUGCUUCCCCUGCUGCAUCCUUCUGUUCUGCCCUCGAUCCGCUUGACGGCUUUGCUUCCCGUUUUCCCCCCCCCCCUCUCUUUGUUUGAUUUCGGGCAGGAGUGAGGCGUAGAGAGGGAGGUGGAAAGCGCUGCGUGCGGCUCUCAUGGCGUCUGUGUCGACCUCGCUGCAGACAUCCUUUGGGGAUGCAGAAGAGAACGCCUGCUUAGAAGUACGCGGGCCGUUGUUUACUGGCGUUGCCGACCGCGCCCCACCGCCUCGAGUGGAAUGUGUCACCUACGCAAAGCUACCCUGCAAGUGCGCGCCCGGGCCUCCCAUCGUUGUUGUCUCAUCAUCGCCACGGCCGCGCUCGGCAUCGCCAGCGACACCGGCUGCGGGAAAUCACUUGCUGACAGCUCCCCUGCCACUUCAAGCCUCCGCCCCGCCACCAUCCUCGUCAACAGAAGAAGUAGCGACGUCAUCGGCACCGCUUAAACCACCGGCUCCUAAAAGCACCGCCUCUGUGAAUGAGAAGGGUGACUCGCCCUUUCUGGCAGCGCAGCAGUUCCUGUUCUCCUCCGGGGCGUCGCUGCUCCACUACGCAAGCCCGUCCUUUUACCUCUCUCUGCGCAGCGGUGUAGACGCAAACGGAGGCGGCAGUGGCACCAGCGCCAGCUGUGUCGAGGUGCUAAGUGAGGAAGGCCAGCGCAACUUGUUGACGUCGUCCACGGUAGCAGCGGCACUCAAGGAACGGUAUGACGGAGUCGGUGCUACAGCCGUGUCGGGCAGCAGCACCGGUGCCAGCGGCGGUAGCGUAGACUGGAAAAAGAUUGACUGGGUGCGCCAGCAGUGCCGCUACACGGGCGAGGCACUGUUGAAGUCUUCCGUAAGAACGGCUCACGAUGGCGAGGAGGCGACGCGGCGGGAGAGUGCAUCCCACGCAACUGAUGCGGCAGCCGUCGCCUCACCGCCUCUGCCCUCUGCCUCCUCAUCCUCCACCCCUGGCAGCACUGAGGUGGGGGAAAAGUCGGUGGGUGCCCGCCUUAUGCAAUCUCUGCUGUACCCUUUCACGCAGCCAUCCGCUCCACCAACGCCCGCGGUCGCAGCGCCGGCGGCUGCUGUGGACAACGCUGUCACUGGCACGGUGGUGCCGCACGGGGUCGGCGUCAUGACGUACUUGCUCUACUGCAAGCCCAAGACCGCUGGCUAUGGCUACCCCUCUGGUGGCUCCAGGAGCCAAACCGCAGGCGCGGGUGCGUCGUCUUCGCCCCUCCUUCCUAUGCCCCCAUUUCUUCCGCCGGACCUUAUACCGACUGCCUACUGCCCCCCACUCACCGACAUUGAGAUCACGACCGCUGAGGACGGCCUCGCUUCCUCAGGAACCUUGGCAGCAUCCCCUGUGCCUCCGGUACCGCACCUCUUGCUGCUGUCGCUGAUUGUGUACGAGGGCGCCUUCGUGCGUGGACGACGGCAUGGGCGAGGUCGUCUGACGGCGUACGGGCGAAUGGUGCUGGAGUGCACCUGGUCAGAGGAUGUGCCAUGUCUGGCAGUGCCAUGGCCCAUAUCCUCAGCAGCAACGUCAGCGGCGUCUCCGGCGCCGACGCUCUGGAACGUGAGCGCGCACGUGUGGGCACCCGCGGCCGCAAAGCCGACGCUGUCGCUCCCACACGUCAGCCAAAAUGCACCACGAGCUUGCAUCACGAACACGGAUGGCACCAAAGCAGCCGAAGCACGUCGCUCUCCCUCCUGCGCACCCUCAGGGACGUGGUCGGUGAGAGCGACGGAGGCGUACAUGGGCUCCUUGAUGCUGGCAACGGUAGCGAGCAAGAAGCUGCUCGCCAAGAUGGAGGCAUGCAUGGGAAGUGCUGGGGCUUCCCUGGUGGCGAAGGCGGUAACCGACCUGCACGGCGCGCGUUACGUCGCUCUUCCUGUUCCCCACCCCUGGCCCUCGUCGGACGGCGUGGAUCUCUGCGACGCCUUCUGUGGGUUGGGCUGGGCGAAUCACGUAGUGCUCCUCCCAGAUGGUUUCGGCGAAGCACACUUUAGGGCAGACAGCGGCCUGGCGCGCUCUGCCGCGCCGCCUGCAUCGUGUACACUGACCGUAUCUGCUCUUGGUGGUCUCUUUCAGCCGCCACUCUGGGUGCCAGAGACCUCUUCUGCUGCCCUGUUCAUGCACACCUCCCUCCCAUUACCGUCUUCUUGUUGGCAGUACUGCGGUCAAUGGUCAGCUGGCCUCCCGCACGGCUUCGGGGCAGCAGCCGAGCGGCUUACCGACCCCACCGCCGCCUCCCUUGCCUCGUCUGCCUCCACUGCUGGUGCAGGGCCACCGCAGUACCCGUGGCGCUCGCUCUUCCUUGGGCAGUACGUGAACGGGAAGCGACAUGGGCCGGGGACCUAUCACGGUGCGCAGGGCAGUGAGGCCACAGAGGUGGUCCUGUGUGGUACGUGGCCGCGCCACGGGCGGAGCGGCACCGCUGCUGCUGCUGCUGCUCGCGCAGAUGAAGAACAGACAGCGGCGAGCGUCGUGCUUUUGCCCGCCUCCUUCGGCAGCGGUGUUACCCGUGCCGCCGGCUUUGGAGCCGCAGCUGCCGCCUCUUCCCCACAUUCGCCGCCGCUCUCGUCAUCGUUCUUUUCUGUGCAGUGCGUUUGCUGGAGCGACAGCGGCGCCGACGAAGGCAGAAAGCCUGAAUGCGGCAGCGGCAGCUGUGGAGGGGGGUUCUUCCCGGUCGCGAAACUGCGGCAAUCUGCUGCAGCGUUGAGCGGCAUGUGGGAGCCGCUGUUCCGCGCCGUGGACGACGCGGUGGCUGGGCAGAGCCCUACACUGUUGAUCGGCGACGAAGAUCCCAGUGAUGGAACCAGAGGUGGGUGUGGAGGCGACGAAGCUGCCGUAUCCGAUGCCUCUCCAUCGCGCAAGGCGCUGCUGUGGCGGCGAGCAUGUCGAGUAGUCGACAGCUUCGUUGUCUCCCCCGAGUGUGUCGCGGUGCUGAGCACCUUUCAUGCUUGCUUUGCCUUCAUGUACGGGGAAGACGUGGCCGCCGUGGCGGCAGAGGAAGGAGCAACAGCAACAACGGCUUCCGCGACUGUCACAACGCCUUCAGGGUCCGAAGAAGCGGCGCUGAGGCUUCUGCAGCGCCUCGAGAGUGCUGCGACUGUCGCAUCGUCGUCGUCUGCGGCGCCACUCAUGGGUUACCCGUGGUGCCCAGCGCACUCCUGGUGUGCAAUGGGGCUUCUAGGCAGCCCAUCUGUCUCGAUGCGGGGGACACAGGGUGGCCCCGGAUUUGCGGCCUGCCUCCACUCGGGACUGUCAGACGGCGCCACACAUUAUCAGCCUCCACCCACCGCCUCGCGCCUUGGCACACGCCAGGCCAGCGGCUACACCAGAACAGCCUGCUCGGAAAGAAGCGCAAAUGGCGCUCUGCUGCGACCCCCGCUCAGCGCCGCGGCCGCCGCUCUCGAGCCGUUUGCUGCGGCCCACACCUUCACCCACGCCAUGCACGCGGCCGCCGCCUUCGUCUCCUCCCUCCGUCUCCGACUUCUCUCCUGCUUCGCCGCCUACCCAGACCUCUGUGAGGUGGUCAUGGGGGACAAGGAAUGCGAGGACAAGAUUGUGCAAUACUGCUGGCACAUCGUCUUUGGCUACGUGGGGUCAGUGCUGGUGAGGAGGGCGACCGCCGUUGCGGUAGCUGAUGUGCGUCUCGUGUGGGAGCUGCUCGGACUCAAGAGCCAGAGGGGCGGGAAGGAAACGCUGACAGACUACUUCGUGGCCCUGCGUCGGUGUCGCACUCUGACGAGAGAGGACAUAGCCACUGUGGCGUGUGCCGACGUUUUGGAAGCGUGUGAGGCAGGCGGGCAUUCUCCGCUAAACGAGUGCGCCAGGCGUCUCGGAAAGUUGCUGGAGCUGCACGCGACAGCUGCUUCGUCGUCCCCCGUGCAUGGCACGCCAGUCGACCGUAUCUCCAGCGAGCUGCAAGAAAUGACGACUUUCCUCUCACAACUGCAUGCCUUGUUAGGCACCGCGGGAAAAAGCAGCGGUCGCGUGAAGAGCUCCGCGGAUCAUUUGUCCGGGUCCGAGGGAGAAGACGUGACGAUGGCGGCGACGUUCACGUUGGCGCAGCGGGAAGCGCUGCUUCGCUGGGUUCUCUUUUCGGCGACCGCGGGCCACACGGCGGUUGCCUCUUUUCCAUCACGCAGCGUGGUAGGGCGGCACCCGUUCGCGUUCCUUUUGGUUGCUCAUUUCCUGCUCAGUGGCCGAGUCAUCCCUGCGUACCCUGUGCUGGUCGGUGAUAGCAGCGGAUGCCCCUCGCGGCACGGUCUUCUGCGGCUUCUCACAGACAUGGGGAGAGCCACGAGAGAGCUGAUGCACACGUACCCCUCCGUCCGCUGGCGGGCUCUCCUCCCCUCGCCGGCUGCGCCAAUGCAUGUAUGGACGAUGUCUGCGGUGUGCCCGCUGGACACGUUAGCGCUGAAACUGGAGUACGUGCUCAGUCAUUGUGCGGCUCUGCACCUCUGCGCGUCCUGCCGUGUUCAUCUGAUCAGUAGUGGUGCCGACGGUGCGUCACCACCCUUGCUGCAGGGUGACGGUGAAGGCGGUUCGGGCGACACGGACGAAUGCAGCGGCGGUGCGCCGAAGGACAGCGCCAUCCACCUCAGCGUGCACAGUCUGUCUCGCGAGGCACAGCAGUGGUGCCGGUGCGAGCUUACGGACCGUCUCACUGCGCCGCUCCUGGAGGCGCGCCUUCAGCAUUACUGGGAUCGUCUCACGCGGAGCUCCGCGCAGCACAGUAGUCCCAAUCACCACCCCGCACGAGUUGAUGGGACUGAGGAUCAUCGCCGCAACGACGCGAUCCCGCCGUCCCCGUUGAUGCGGUGGUUGCUGCUUUGUUUGCAGGGCGUGUUGAGUGGUCCACUCCAGCCUCAGCCGGUGGUGAGACCGUCUAGCGGCACUGCCCCGGCGGACUCGGCCUCCAUGCGGCGUCGCACCAAUCAGGCCUCUUCACAGUCGCCUAGGCAGUCCUGCUCGACCGCGCUUCCGACUCGCUACACCUGGAAGAAGUUUAUCAGCGCCGUCUUCUUCAGCCCUGCAGAACGAGAGGAGUGGAUCUCAGCCCACAGCCCCACCACCACCGCAGUCGCCUGUGCUCUGUCCUUGAUGGACAGCUGCUACGUGGCCGCUCUCGCCUAUACGCUCCGCGAGCUUGCCGGCAUAGAGCUGGACCUCAGAGUGCGCUUUGUGUUCGAAGACGAUGACGAGGACGAGGAGAGGAGCGCCGAUGCCGACAGGCAGGCGGCCAGCGAGGCAGGCGGGGCGGGCGAGCGUCGUGGUGCGACGGCUUCGGCGGCGUCGUCAGUGCAAAUGGAAAGCAUCAAGCAGUCGCGGUGUGCGCGGAAGAACAUCUUCCUGAGCUCUUCCUCAUCCUCAUCCUCCAUACCUCUGUCGCCGCGGGCAGCGUCUCCGUUGCCGGGACGAAACCUCUCCCCAGACAGUCGCGUGCAGCGCGCGGCCACGCACGCACAUACCGGCGGCAGCAGCAGCAGAAGUGGGAACGGUAGCAGCCACGGUUGCUCGCCAGGCGAUGGGGCUACCGCAGCCUCAACGCAGUCGUCGACCCCGACGCGUCAGCGCCUUCCCGCCUUGCAGCAGGUGUCGCGGCUUGCAUAUACGGAGGAACCACCGUGUGAUGAACCACCCCGAGCGAAUGGGCGCCUGCGGAGUCAGUCGGCGGCCGUCGCCGGCUCUGUGGCGUCUCCCCUGAUGGGUGGUCCUGUGGGAAAGGAGUGGGAGUUGACGCUAGUGCUCCGACACGGUAAUGACGGCGGCGAGCAAGAGACGGCAGCGUCGCCCAACCACCUCUUCUCAACACUCACUUGGGAGGUGAUGGAGCAGGUGUGCUCGACCGUGCUCCAUCAGCUGCAAGCCACGGCCCAGCCCGGCGAUGCGGCGGAGAGCAAGAAGCUGACGAAGGCAAAGGCAGAGAAAUCCAGACGGCGAUCAUCAAAGAGAGAGGCAAUAUCCAUGUAAGCACACGCGAGGCAGAUCACAGCCGUCACUUCACGAGCCUCGAUAGGAAAGGGCUGUCGCGGAACAGCAGGAACCAAGUAAAGGGUGCUGACUUCACUUUCUCUUUCUCUCUCUUCGCUCUUUCAAGACGACCACGCACCCUCGCAUACCAGCACGCGCCUACGCCGUGGUCGAUAAAGUCAGCCGCACACAAGAG
rnacentral:misc_RNA from 1 species